CAGCCAUACCGCGUGCGGGAAGAAGGCCUUCGGGUUGUAAACCGCUUUUGUCAGGGAAGAAAUACCUCGGGUUAAUACCCUGGGGUGAUGACGGUACCUGAAGAAUAAGCACCGGCUAACUACGUGCCAGCAGCCGCGGUAAUACGUAGGGUGCAAGCGUUAAUCGGAAUUACUGGGCGUAAAGCGUGCGCAGGCGGUUCUAUAAGACAGAUGUGAAAUCCCCGGGCUCAACCUGGGAACUGCAUUUGUGACUGUAGAGCUAGAGUACGGUAGAGGGGGAUGGAAUUCCGCGUGUAGCAGUGAAAUGCGUAGAUAUGCGGAGGAACACCGAUGGCGAAGGCAAUCCCCUGGACCUGUACUGACGCUCAUGCACGAAAGCGUGGGGAGCAAACAGGAUUAGAUACCCUGGUAGUCCACGCCCUAAACGAUGUCAACUGGUUGUUGGG
rnacentral:rRNA from 1 species